CCUGAAACCGUGUACGUACAAGCAGUGGGAGCCUCUUAAUGGGGUGACUGCGUACCUUUUGUAUAAUGGGUCAGCGACUUAUAUUCUGUAGCAAGGUUAACCGAAUAGGGGAGCCGAAGGGAAACCGAGUCUUAACUGGGCGCUAAGUUGCAGGGUAUAGACCCGAAACCCGGUGAUCUAGCCAUGGGCAGGUUGAAGGUUGGGUAACACUAACUGGAGGACCGAACCGACUAAUGUUGAAAAAUUAGCGGAUGACUUGUGGCUGGGGGUGAAAGGCCAAUCAAACCGGGAGAUAGCUGGUUCUCCCCGAAAGCUAUUUAGGUAGCGCCUCGUGAAUUCAUCUCCGGGGGUAGAGCACUGUUUCGGCAAGGGGGUCAUCCCGACUUACCAACCCGAUGCAAACUGCGAAUACCGGAGAAUGUUAUCACGGGAGACACACGGCGGGUGCUAACGUCCGUCGUGAAGAGGGAAACAACCCAGACCGCCAGCUAAGGUCCCAAAGUCAUGGUUAAGUGGGAAACGAUGUGGGAAGGCCCAGACAGCCAGGAUGUUGGCUUAGAAGCAGCCAUCAUUUAAAGAAAGCGUAAUAGCUCACUGGUCGAGUCGGCCUGCGCGGAAGAUGUAACGGGGCUAAACCAUGCACCGAAGCUGCGGCAGCGACACUAUGUGUUGUUGGGUAGGGGAGCG
rnacentral:rRNA from 1 species